rnacentral:lncRNA from 1 species
CCUCAUCUGACACAACGCCAUCAAAAUUUAUCUUCAAGACUCCAAAGGGAGAGGGAUUGAGAUAAGGGCAGUCCCAGUUCCCAAAUGGAGCAGAGGUUGUAUUUGAAUAUUUGAAGGUCCAAUUGUGAUAUAUGACAAGCAGCCAUAAGAUCAUUUGGGUUGGCAGUAACAUUUUAAAAUAUACACACAUUGCGAGCCUUCCAUAUAAGCUAGGCUAACUGAAUACACAGAGCUUGAUACUCCUUCUCCCCC